rnacentral:tRNA from 1 species
GUGGUGCUCGGCGAGCACGACAUCGAGCUUCCGGCGGGCGAGGCGGCCGAGUUCGACACCCGGGUACCGCAC